ensembl:lncRNA DNM3OS DNM3 opposite strand/antisense RNA
UCCCCCUUUUCCUGGUCCUAAAUUCAUUGCCAGUUCCCCAGUCUGCAGCAAAUGUGCCACGUCAAGACUGGAAAUCACAGCCCUUGAGUGUGUCUCAGUCAGCGCAGCAGAAUUCAGGGGGGAAAGCUGAAUGCAACCCCUGGUGCAGGAAGGGAGGCUUUUCCUGAGGACCGGGAGAGGAUUUUAAGUUUUGCACACUAGGGACCAAGAAGCCCUCGGGGACACUGCUGAGAAAAGACUGCCGAAGGGAAGACCAGCGGGGAUCAUGGAAUCUAUUCCAGAGGAAACUAACCAACAGUGAGCAUCUUCAACUAAAACUACCCCUGGAUGUAAUAAGUGUUGCAUGCAUCAUUCCUUUAAUUGAGCAGAGUUAACUGGAUCAAAUUAUUUAUGGGAGAGAGAGGAAAAGUUAUAAAGAAUUAUAGUAAUUUUUAAUUUCCACCAAUAUACUCUUUGUAAGUGAAUCACUCUAUAAUUACUUUCUGUUGCACUGAAUGCAGCAACAAUAACACAAUAGUAUUUUAAGGCACUGGUUUUUGGCAUACUCUAACCUUGUAAUUAUUUAAAUAACAGCCAAGUUUACUCAUGUUUUUGAUUCUGUCAAGAAAAAAAAAAAGUUCCUUUACUCGAAAGUGAUGGCCGAAACAGAAUCGGAAAUUUGUUUUCUUGAAAUUACAUAAAUACACAGAAAAUGGCACUUAUUAGCUUUUGUUAAAACAUUACCUUACCUAAUCACUGCAUAAAAGUCCAGAUUUGUAGAAAAUUGUAAUUUUCUCAGUAUCUAAAACUAUUUUGCUUUCCAUUAAGUUUCUAUUUGCUAUUUUCUCAGAAUUUUACAAUUAAAGAUAAAUCACAAACUGUUUGUUUUUCUUAAAGUUCUUUGAGAAAAUGUCUAAUUAUACAAUCCUUGGACAAUACUGUGUUUUUUUGGUGCUGUGUUUUUUAAGAAGUCCUACUUACUGGAAUUUUGACUAUUUGGAUAUUUUUGUUUUUAAAAGGGGAGGGGAAUUUGCUUAAUACUUCUAAAGAUGUGAAUUGAUAAUUGAUAUUAAAAUAGAAUUACUCUCAACUCACCAGAAUUAAAUUUUAUAUCUGCAUAUUUAACACUAUUAGCUCAUAUAAAUUAUAAGAAAAAUUUUCAAAGGAUCUGGUUUUAAUUUUUUGGAUAUGAAAUGAAUUUGCCUUUUCUGCCUUUUCUUAAGUACUAUUUUGUAACUAUAUUGCACUAACUAUAUCCAAAACACAUUCUGAGCAUCACUGUGAGUAACAGCCUUCCAGUUUGUACCCUUUUGAUUCACAGCAUGGCCCUAUAGUUAAUUAAGAGGUGGAUAACUUAAGCUCACAACUGCCUUUAAUUUGAUUUCACAUCCACAGUUAUAAACUUUGCAUUUAAAAGGAAAAUGAGACAUUUAAAUAGGUUCCUGUUGUUUCACAUAUAAUUGGUAAAAACAUAUUCCCUUGUAGGAUCCUAUUAUCAGAGCAUCAAAUACCAAAGUCAGCAACUUGGGUUGCCAAAUAAAUUAGGCUCAUUAAUUAUUUUGAAAAGGGCUGCUGUUUCCAUGUAAAUGAUAAUUUUCUUUUUCAUGGACAAGGUUAUGGUACUUAUCUACUAAAAGAAACAUGCAUAAACAUAGUUUUUAUCUUUAACUUCAGUAUUAAAAUAUGCAGUUUUUUGCAAAGAGGAAAAACAUCUGGUUCAAUUACGCUGAACUCUGACUACAUGUGGGCCAGUAAUAAUAUGAAUUGGACUUAAGAAUAAACCUUGUGUUUAAUCUCUUUUUUUCCUUAAAAUUUUAAUGUGAGUUUUCUGUUACGCAAAUUAUCCAUGUUAGCACAUUUGGAACAAAUGUAUAAAUGUACUUUCUGAAUAAAGUCAAAAGUCUAACUUGUUUUUAGUUCCAUAAUGUUUUAAUGUUUAAUUAUAUUGUGUAUUUUUCUCCCUUUCCCCUUACUCUCCAAAAUCACCAAAUCUGGAAAACAGGCUGAUUGUAUCUGUCUAUGAGCAAAGGAAACCUGAAGGAACCAAGGGCCUGGCUGGACAGAGUUGUCAUGUGUCUGCCUGUCUACACUUGCUGUGCAGAACAUCCGCUCACCUGUACAGCAGGCACAGACAGGCAGUCACAUGACAACCCAGCCUGAAUGACAACCAGCCAUUGAAAGAAAGCAGCCCUCACACCAUAGCAUCUACACCAAGAGCUACAACCAAAAUGAGGGGCUCGGGGGCCUGGGGUUUUAAUCUGUUGGUUUAAUACUUAACUCAUGUAUUAUUUUAUUUUGAUUCAAGUAUUAAAACCCACCAAAAGUAAAGUGAGUGGUGCCUAUGAAAUAUAAUAAAACCCAUUUCUGAAAAUGUUCCUGUGCAUUCUAUAGUUCUCUUUUCCUAAUUGUUGUCAGCAAAUCACUACCCUUGACCUUUAUUGUACACAGCUUUGCAGCACCCUAUAUUGAUAUAAAAACUCAAUAUAACAAAACAAUAUAACUUCAGUCUGAUGCUUAACAAAGAAUAAAUUAUUCUAAGAAUUCUUGUCCAUAAACUAA